rnacentral:lncRNA from 1 species
AGAAGUACAGCAAAUUGAAGAUGAAAAUGGGACAGAUUUUCAAUGCAGUGGACCAUAUACACAGCUGCUGCAGCAUAUGCUUUCUGAUUCCACACCAUGGAAUAAAGAUAUUUCCCUAGCUUCAGCACAUAUCUAUGGUCCAUUGCUUAAGAUACACUUCCUAGAUGUAUAACAUUACAGGGCGAGUGCUUAGACUUUAAUUUUCUCUACCAUGAGCUGAUUCAGUAGUUUGAAUCAAAGUUUUGGAC